rnacentral:rRNA from 1 species
GAUGAACGCUAGCGGCAGGCUUAAUACAUGCAAGUCGAGGGGCAGCACGGGUAGCAAUACCUGGUGGCGACCGGCAAACGGGUGCGGAACACGUACGCAACCUUCCCAUAACUGGUGAAUAGCCUUCCGAAAGGGAGAUUAAUACACCGUAACAUAACGAAAAGGCAUCUUUUUGUUAUUAUAGGCUUCGGCCGGUUUUGGAUGGGCGUGCGCCUGAUUAGGUAGUUGGCGGGGUAAAGGCCCACCAAGCCUGCGAUCAGUAACUGGUGUGAGAGCACGACCAGUCACACGGGCACUGAGACACGGUCCAGACUCCUACGGGAGGCAGCAGUGGGGAAUUUUUCGCAAUGGGGGAAACCCUGACGAAGCAACGCCGCGUGGAGGAUGAAGGUCUUCGGAUUGUAAACUCCUGUCGACCGGGACGAAUGCACUCGACCUAAUACGUCGAGCUGUUGACGGUACCGGUGGAGGAAGCCACGGCUAACUCUGUGCCAGCAGCCGCGGUAAGUGA